AAAAUUUUCUUUAAACAUUACUAGAACCAUAUUUAUAAAAGCCAUGUCAUAAUUCAUAACAUACAUUCAGAGUAUUAAUUCAAAACAUAUUCUCAUUAUCAGAGUAAAACAUCCCAGGCUGUCUAAUUAAUGGUGUGUGCCAUGCGAUCACCCCGAGCUCUUCCCUCCGCUAUCGGAAGUACCUGAAACCAAAACUGAAAACUGUAAGCAUGAAGCUUAGUGAGUUCCCCCAACCUACCACAUACCAUGCAUAAACACAUACAGCACAUACUGGGCCACGCCCGCUAUUUCGGGCCUCGCCCGCUACAACGGCCCUGCUGCUCCAGGCCCCGCCUGGCUUCGAGCCCCGCUCGGAUACAGAUCUGUUUCACUUAGGCCUCGCCUGUCACUGGGCCUCGCCCGCUAACAUAUAAUAGCACAUAAACAUAUCACAACACAUAAGCUAAACAUAUACUAAUGGAUCCUGUCCUAAGGCCUCGCCUAUCUUGGGCCUCGCCCUUGUCCUGCUACUGAUGAGUCAUGGAACCCCGUCCACGCUCCUACUGAUAGUGAGAUACGGGCCCAACCCACACUCACUUUUUCCCUAACUUGGGCCUCGCCCCUGUUCUGCUGCUAAUGAGAUGUGGAACACCGUCCACACUUUGCUAUUGGUGAGAUACGGGACCUCGCCCACACUCACCUCCCUACCAGGCACAUACAAGUAUCACGCAGACAACAAGUAUACUCUAUCAUGCAAAACAUUCCUUGGGCUCCCGCCCGCUAUCAAUGGACCUUGGUCCUAAAUAUCAUACUGGCAUACAGUGCCUAGGGCUAACCCUUGGGUCUUCCUACUCAUAUCUACAUGGGCUGGCAUUAUGGCCUUAAACCCAUUCACACAAAGGGAAACUCACCUGCACUGCGAAACUCUUGCUGAUAACCCUCUGACUGUUGUUCGACAAUGCUUUGAACCGCUACUCCACUAGCUCCCUGAGCUACCAAUAUCAAUAUACAUAACACUUAGAUCGAAAUAGAACACUAGAAGCCGACUAAGUCCACUCUUGACAAAGUCAAAGUCCUGGUCAAAGUCAACCUUCCUGACUGACUCUACUCGUCGAGUCACCCCAAGACUCGUCGAGUCUAUGAAAUCAGAAACUCCCAUCAUACGAAUCAACUUGCCGAGUCACCCCAAGACUCGUCGAGUUCAAUGAUCUCUGAGUCCCAUCCUGCCCAACUCAUUGUGUAUCCACUCAACUCACUGAUCUAAGCCUUAACCAGAAGGGGUUAGUGCUUCGCGACCUGACUCGCCGAGUCCAAGAACAGACUCGUCGAGUUGUUCUUCCAACUCGUCGAGUCCAUGCCCAUCUUCAUCCAACUCGCCGAGUUCACCCAUGUGACUCGCCGAGUCACUUCAGUUCUUAAUCCAUACAGUGGCUUUUUGAGUCAUGCAGGGGCUCCAUCUAAUAGAUCCACUCUUCCCAAGUCUAUUCCUCACGUAAAGUUGCAAACUUUACGCGAAACCAAAGAGAUAUGGGCUUAAAACACUCGAGAGCUAGGGUUUGAGACCAUGGGGCUUCACCAACAACUUAUUGGCAUAAACUUUAUGGCUUUCUGGAUCCUUAAUAGCCUAGAUCUGAGGUAGCAACCUCAGAUCUACUCCAAACUCGAAAUAUAUCUCCUCUAUACUCAAAAUGCCCAAAUCUCAACCAUAAGAUAGAUCUAAAUGCAAUAGGGUCAGCUUAUUACCUCAAAGGAUCUGAAAAGUCACACCAACUAGGUAUCCAAGGCUUCCUCUUGCACCACUAUGAACCUCCUUCUCUUCCAAGCUUCAAAUCACUUCACCAAGGGUAGAUCUUGCUCAAAAUGGAUAUGGUGGCUAGGGUUCGGUAUUCUGGGUGAGAGAGACUGUAAAGGAACCCUAGGGAAGAGAAUGAGACGUUUAAAUAGGGCACCAAGUCCCGAAUUUAGAGUUUCCCAAUCCAGACCGGACUCGCCGAGUCCACUCUCCGACUCGUCGAGUAGGUCACUUACUCUCCGACCCGGAUCCCGCUUCGACUCGUCGAGUCCACCUAUGGACUCGAUGAGUUGACCCCUUGACUUAGGGUUUUCCUUUCCUUUCUUGAUCUUUCUGAUUCUGGGUGUUACAGUUAGACUCAAACGAGAGCUGCGCAAUAGGGCCAAAUCCAGCACUCUGAGAUUAUUCAACCCUGAUCACAUGUGACGUGACGUAGUCACCUAAUGGCUAACUCCCAUCACUCAGAAUCCCACAAUGCACAAAGCAAGCAACAUUCAGACAAAGGAAAAUCUAACCAUAACAUACUCAAGCAAUCAUAAUCUCAUAUCAAGAAUCUGUACUAGCAUGCAGCAUAAUCUCAUAUACUACGGCAUAACCUAAACUGGCUACUCUACUAUUGUCUAACCAGUACCAUCAUGCAACUCAAAAACAUAUAUAACAGGCACAUAAGGCAUCCUCCCUAGAACCUUAGUCCUAAUCUAGCAUGCUGUUCUACUAACUGAUAAUCAUAACAUAAACUUGUAUGGGUAUUUUGGGGUACUUACUUGAGCUUGGCUGAUUGCAUGCACCACACCCUUUUCUCUUAUCAAAGUUCUUUUCCUUUUCUAAAACUGUUUCAUUUCUCAAAACUCUUUUACAAAAUUGGCUUUUCAUUUUGAAAAUUUCUAUACCAAUUCCUUAGUUUGAGUUCAGACACACCCGAGAGUAUGUUUGAAUCCCUCAAACCAAGGCUCUGAUACAAACUUGUAACGUCCCAAAAAUCACGACUGAAAAUUUUCUUUAAACAUUACUAAAACCAUAUUUAUAAAAGCCAUGUCAUAAUUCAUAACAUACAUUCAGAGUAUUAAUUCAAAACAUAUUCUCAUUAUCAGAGUAAAACAUCCCAGGCUGUCUAAUUAAUGGUGUGUGCCAUGCGAUCACCCCGAGCUCUUCCCUCCGCUACCGGAAGUACCUGAAACCAAAACUGAAAACCGUAAACACGAAGCUUAGUGAGUUCCCCAACCUACCACAUACCCUGCACAAACACAUAGCACAUAUUGGGCCACACCCGCUAUUUCGGGCCUCGCCCUCUACCUCGGGCCUUGCCCGCUAAAACGGCCCCGCCGCUCCAGGCCCUGCCUGGCUUCGAGCCCCGCUCAGAUACAUAUCUGUUUCUUUUAGGCCCCGCCUAUCUCUGGGCCCCGCCCGCUAACCACAUAAUACAAAAUAGCAUAUAACACAUAAUUGAACAUACCCUACUGUAUUCCUGUCCUAAGGCCUCGCCCCUAUCCUGUUACUAGUGAGUCAUGGAACCCUGUCCAAGCUCCUACUAUAAGUGAGAUACGGCCCCCCGCCCACACUCACUCCAUACCUAACCCGGGCCUCGCCCCUGCUCUGCUACUAAUGAGAUAUGGAACACCAUUCAUACUCUGCUAUUGGUGAGAUACGAGACCUCGCCCACACUCACCUCCCUACCAGGCACAUACAUGCAUCACACAGACAACAAGUAUACUCUAUCAUGCAAACCACUGCUUGGGACCCGCCCGACAUUGGACCUUGGUCCUGAAUAUCAUAAUAACAAACAGUGCCCAGGGCUAACCCCCGUGUCUUCCUACUCAUAACUACAUGGGCCGACAUUUUGACCGUAGACCCAUCCACACAAAAGGAAACUCACCUUGCACUGUUGUUGUCCUGCUAAAAUCCCUCGGAUUCUAUCUGACAAAUCCUCGUCCUGCUGAUCCUUCGGCUCUCUGAGCUAGCCAUACCACAAUACACUUAGUAAAAUCCAAUAAUCCAUCAUAGGGUAGAAUGACCAUUCUACCCAUGGGCCAACCUGGUCCAUAACUAAGUCCCAACACUAAAAAAACUCCCCAAGUCCAUUAGUGGCCCACUAAUGGCCCAAUUUGCUACAUCGGGCCUAAUCCCUUUACUGGGCCUUAUCCUAAGCCCAAACAUAUCCUUGGCCCAAAAUAACCUGACUUCUGCUGACCCACUAAGGCCCAAAGGCCCAAAGUCCCAAGANAACAGACUCGCCGAGUUGUACUUCCAACUCAUCGAGUUCCUGCCUAUCUUCUUACAACUCGCCGAGUCCACCCAUGUGACUCGCCGAGUAGCUUCAGGUCUUAAUCCAUACAGUGGCUUUUCGAGCCAUGCAAGGGCUCUAAACUGUAGAUCCACUCUUCUAAGGCACAUCCUUCACGUAAAGUUGCAAACUUUACGUGAAACCAAGGAGCUAUAGGCUUAAAACACUCUAGGGCUAGGGUUUGAGGCAAGCAUGCUUCACCAACACACCAAAGACUGAUACUUUAUGGGUUUCUGGGCCAAGACAACCCUAGAUCCGAAGUUCUCUUUGCUCACAAAGGCACAAUACACAAAUUGGCCUUGGAAAUGGCCCAAAAUGAUAAAAUCUAACUAGGAAAGGGAAUCUAAAUGAAUAACUGCCAAGGUAUGAGCUCCAUACCUUCCAAUGAUCUGAAAUAGCACACCAACUCAGAACCCACUGCCACUUCUUGAAUCACCCAAGGUUCCUUUCUUCUUUUUUGCUUCUAAGCACCCAAAUGGCAAGGAAAGCUUGAGAGUAAUACAAUGGAGGCUUAGGGUUUCGAGGGAAUGUAAAGGGAGCGAUGGAGGCUGGGGUGAAGGCCUGAAAUGAUGCUUAAAUAGGGCACCAAGCUCGGAAAUUAGGGUUUUCCAACCCAGACUUGACUCGCCGAGUCAGUCCCUCCGACUCGCCAAGUCGGUCACUUAAAUCCCGACAAGGAACCCGCUCCAACUCGUCGAGUUCACCUAUGGACUCGACGAGUUGACCCCUUUGACUUAGGGUUUUCCUUUCCUUUCUUGGUCUUUUUGAUUCCGAGUGUUACAUAGUGUCUAUAAGUGAUGGUAGGGAUAGUGGUGACAUGUAGGUGAUGGUGGUGGUGGGUGAGUGGUGAUGGAAGAAGGGUAUUUUUAAUCGUGGUGGUAGGGAUAAUGGUGGUAUGUGGGUGGUGGAAGAAGGGUAUUUUCAUCCUUGUUAAAUAUUUAACAGCCCUCUGUUAAGGUUGUUAGAUGGGAGGACCACUGUUAAGGCUGUUAGAUGGGAGGACUACUAAUGAUACGGAAAGAUCUCUAUAGGGACCAAUGGUUUUAUUAUUCUGAUACUAGGACCUAAACUGUUAUUCUGAGCAAACCACAUGGACCAAGAGUGUAAUUUACUCUAUAUCAAUCAACGGUUCUCAACGCAGUCAAAAUUUUGACUUUUUGCUACGUGACAGCUUAAUUCGUACGGCACCAUACUUCAUAACGUGCAUACCACUACACUCGAUUCUUCCUUUCUCACUCCCCUGUUCCUCCUUCAUCUUCACCAUAUUCAAUCGCAUCAAAACAACCAGCAAACCUCUUACGAUUCACGCAUUCGCCAUGGAUUUCUGGCAAAAGGCUCGCACCUUCGCUGAAGACGCUGCCAAGAGAUCACAGGAGUUAACCAAAGAAGCCGCGAAACGAUCACAAGAGUUAACAAAAGAAGCCGCGAAGCGAUCACAGGAAUUCACCAUUGGAUCAUCGAAGCUCUCUGACAUCGUCCUGGAGGCGUCGAAACGGUCUAAGGAGAUCGCUGCUGAGGCAUCGAAGAAGGUUGAUUUCGUUAAGGUCGAAGCGUUGAAACGUGCAGAUCAGAUCAAGUCUCAGAUUCCUUCCACUUCUGCCGCGAUCUCGCAACUCGUUGUCGAUUCUUCUGCGACAGCGCAGCCUGGGGGCACUUCCCCUGCGGAUCUCGAGAAGUUUGGAAUUACGGAAGAGCUGCGAGAGUUUGUGAAGGAAAUCACUAUAAAUACGUUUCGAGACUUCCCGCUAGAAGGUAAGUAAAGCAGUUAAUAAGGUACGCCUGCAUCAGUUAUUAGUUAAAAGCAUGCGUAUUGUAUGAAAUACAUAUAAGAAUGAAGUUAGUUAUAGGUUUUGGAGAAUGCUUAGUACAUGAUUUGAGAACCUUCAUGACUUCCGAUUCUAUCACGGUGUGCAUUGUUUCCCCUCUAGGGUUUUUGAGCCUUUUUAGUGCCUCGUAGGGAUGCAUCACGAUUAAUAGUAUAUACACUGUAUGGCGAGUUGUAAUGGUGUUGUCAAAAUUAGUAAUGUCUUUCAG
rnacentral:lncRNA from 1 species